ACUACCAUAUCAUCUCUACUAUAGAGAUAAUCAAUUAGAUUACAAUAAUCUAAUCAUUCAUUAAUAAAGUGAAGGAAAAAUUUUGUCCUAGCUAAGAACAAGUAAGAACAUUUGAAUACAUAUGCAAACUAUUAACACUUUAAAGUAGGCAUGCAUUAAAAAACAAUUCAUAAAACCCAUGACUUUCAAAGCCUAGUAUAUGGUGAACCAAUAAACUCUUUAACAACAUUAAAGAAAAGAAAAGAUUUAGAGUUUCUUUACCCUUGAAGCUCAUCCUUGUUUACACAAGGGAUUCACCCAAGUGGA
rnacentral:lncRNA from 1 species